AGUACGGCGAGUGAAGCGGCAAAAGCUCAAAUUUGAAAUCUGGUACCUUCGGUUGCCCGAGUUGUAAUUUGGAGAGGGCAACUUUGGGGCCGUUCCUUGUCUAUGUUCCUUGGAACAGGACGUCAUAGAGGGUGAGAAUCCCGUGUGGCGAGGAGUGCGGUUCUUUGUAAAGUGCCUUCGAAGAGUCGAGUGUUUUGG
rnacentral:rRNA from 1 species